rnacentral:rRNA from 1 species
AAAGAAAGUAAGCAAGGGCGCAUGGCGGAUGCCUUGGCUCUCGGAGGCGAUGAAGGACGUGAUAAGCUGCGAUAAGCUUCGGGCAGGUGCAAAUAACCUUUGAUCCGAAGAUUUCCGAAUGGGACAACCCGUCAUUCUGAAGGAAUGACAUCUUGCAUAGCAAGAGGCUAACGCAGGGAACUGAAACAUCUUAGUACCUGUAGGAAAAGAAAAUAAUAAUGAUUCCCCUAGUAGUGGCGAGCGAACGGGGAUUAGCCCAAACCAAUGUUGUUACGGCAAUAUUGGGGUUGUAGGACCACGAUGUCGCAAGAAAUUUAGUGAGAAGAACCCUUUGGAAAAUGGGACCAUAGACGGUGAUAGUCCGGUAUUCGAAGCUAAAUGAAGCGUAGUGGUAUCCUGAGUAGCGCGGGACACGAGGAAUCUUGCGUGAAUCUGCCGGGACCAUCCGGUAAGGCUAAAUACUCCCGAGAGACCGAUAGCGAACCAGUA